UAUCACGGAGAUGUCGAUGAUGA
rnacentral:piRNA from 1 species